UAAGACAACUGUAUGGAGGACAGUCAGAAAAGUUUUCUGUGUGAUUGGCUGCAUAGAUGCACACACAUCCCCAUCACAGCUCCCUCACAUCAUGAACAGGAAGUCCAUUCACAGCAUAAAUGUGCAGAUCAUCUGUGAUGCUGCAUACAUCAUUUCUAAUGUGGAGGCCACGUGGUCUGGGUCUGUUCAUGACUCCAGGAUUUAUGGAGAGUCUAACCUGAGCAACAGACUGCAGCGUGGAGAGUUUGAUGGCCUUCUGCUGGAUGACAGGGGUUACCAUGACAACCCAGGCUGAUGACCUCAUACCCUGACCCUGAACCAGGCCCCCAACAGAACUUCAACCGGACUCACUGCAGGACCAGAGCCCGGGUGGAGAUGACCAUAGGCCUGCUGAAAGCCCGUUUCCAGAGCCUACGUCUCCUCAGGGUGACCCCUGAGAGGGCCUGUGAUAUUACUGUGGCAUGUGUUGUUCUUCAUAAUAUUACCACUAUUAGAGGAGAGCAACACCCUGCCCUACAAACUGAAGACCCAGAUGAUGAGCCCAUCCACCUGCAGCUAUCCAGGACAGCAGAGCAGUCAGAGACACCGUAUGCAAUAAUCACUUUAGAGUUUAAGUCACCAUCAUCACCACCACAGCAAAUAAAGACAUGAUACACAUUU